rnacentral:misc_RNA from 1 species
CACGGCAACUGAGAUUGCAGAUGAAUGUGGAGGCUUACCUCUUGCUAUUGUAACUAUUGCAAAGGGAUUAAAAAACAAAGGGAGAAUCAAAUGGGAUGAUAUGCUCCAACAACUAAAGAAUUCUAACCUGCAAGGCGUAUCAAGAGAUGUGUUUUCCAGAAUUGAAUUAAGUUACAAGCUUUUGGAAGCCGAAGAGGCCG